UGAGGAAUAUUGGUCAAGUGGGCGGAAGCCUGAACCAGCCAAGUCGCGUGAGGGAAUAAGGCCCUACGGGUCGUAAACCUCUUUUGCCGGGGAGCAAGGGCGGGGACGUGUCCCGGCCCGGAGAGUACCCGGAGAAAAAGCAUCGGCUAACUCCGUGCC
rnacentral:rRNA from 1 species